CCUACGGGAGGCAGCAGUGAGGAAUAUUGGUCAAUGGCCGGAAGGCUGAACCAGCCAAGCCGCGUGAAGGACGAAGGUGCCAAGCAUUGUAAACUUCUUUUGUCAAGGGACAAAAUCAGGCUCGAGAGCCUGACCGAGGGUACUUGAAGAAAAAGCAUCGACUAACUCCGUGCCAGCAGCCGCGGUAAUACGGAGGAUGCGAGCGUUAUCCGGAUUUAUUGGGUUAAAAGGAUGCGUAGGCGGACUGUUAAGUCAGCGGUAAAAGCCCGGGGCUCAACCCCGGCGAGCCGUUGAAACUGGCAGUCGUGAGAAGGCGAGAGGUAGGCGGAAUGCGCGGGGGAGGGGUGAAAUGCGUAGAUAUUGAGAAGAACUCUGAUUGCGAAGGCAGCAUACCGGCGGCGAUCUGACGCUGAGGCACGAAAGCGUGGGUAGCGAACAGGAUUAGAUACCCGGGUAGUC
rnacentral:rRNA from 1 species